GGCUCAUAACCUUGAGGUCACGGGUUCGAUUCCCGUCUCCGCAC
rnacentral:tRNA from 1 species